AGACCCGAAACCCGGUGAUCUAGCCAUGGGCAGGUUGAAGGUUGGGUAACACUAACUGGAGGACCGAACCGACUAAUGUUGAAAAAUUAGCGGAUGACCUGUGGCUGGGGGUGAAAGGCCAAUCAAACCGGGAGAUAGCUGGUUCUCCCCGAAAGCUAUUUAGGUAGCGCCUCGUGAAUUCAUCUCCGGGGGUAGAGCACUGUUUCGGCUAGGGGGCCAUCCCGGCUUACCAACCCGAUGCAAACUGCGAAUACCGGAGAAUGUUAUCACGGGAGACACACGGCGGGUGCUAACGUCCGUCGUGAAGAGGGAAACAACCCAGACCGCCAGCUAAGGUCCCAAAGUCAUGGUUAAGUGGGAAACGAUGUGGGAAGGCCCAGACAGCCAGGAUGUUGGCUUAGAAGCAGCCAUCAUUUAAAGAAAGCGUAAUAGCUCACUGGUCGAGUCGGCCUGCGCGGAAGAUGUAACGGGGCUAAACCAUGCACCGAAGCUGCGGCAGCGACGCUGAUGCGUUGUUGGGUAGGGGAGCGUUCUGUAAGCCUGCGAAGGUGGCCUGUGAGGGUUG
rnacentral:rRNA from 1 species